GAUAUUUUCCCCAUAUCUAGAGGAGUGCAGCGUUUUUCUAUUUUUUCACUAGCAAAAGAAGAGAGACCCCUCUGCAGCUUCUCCAUUUUUCAUAUUUCCUUCUUCUUCUCAAAAAUCAACUUCGGUUUCCCCACACUCCUUGGCGCUAUCGAGAAAAAGGGGAAAAGGAUUUAGGUUUGGUUCUCUGUUUGUUAAGUUUUGAAUUAAUUUCAGAAUUUUCUUUCAAUUCCUAGAACAAGAAUGUAGAAAAAAAAUCAAAAAAAGAAGAAAAGUUUGAGUUCAGUUUCUUCACUCCGGUUCUGCUUCUGUUUCGAAAUAAGAAAACGAAAAAGAAAGGAUAGGAGAACGUUUCCAUCUCCUUGCUUCCCCAAUUUCGAAUUCCGUUCAAAAAUGGGUUUAGAUUGAACGACUUUGUCCCUGUUUGAAACUGUCUUUUGGGGUUAAAGUUCGAGGCUGUUAAAGCUCGGAACCAAGUCGCUUGCCGCUACUCUAUCUGUUUGCCGAGCUCCAUUUUAUUCUUUUAGCCUUUAUUUGGCGUUUCAAGUAAUCUGUGAUUUUCAGGUACACCAUUUUAAAUCAAAUGAUAUAAACAUUUGAUUUGUUUGAAUGAGAUAAACGCAAAUCUGUUCACACUUUGUGUUGUUUCAAAUCUGACAACUUGGUUGAUAUUCAUCAUGCUAAGUCUUGCUUGAUUACUGUAUUGAAACGGAAAUUAAUUUGGCAUUCAAGUUUAUUGCACUUGUUAUGUUAAGAAUGAUUUUGAAUCUGUUUCGUGCCUUCCACUGAGUAAUGUGGUUUGAAAUGAUGGAAAUGGAGUUUGUAUAAUUUGUUUGGAUUAAAUAGGUAGCAGACAUUAGGAAUCCAACAAUUUCAUUGUUCAUCCUUAUUUAAAUUGAAGUAAUUGCUGAUUUUCUUUUAAGUACGCAUCAGCCCGUGAGAAUGAGUAUGUUUGGAAAUCAAGUUAAUUGCAAAAGUUGGAAGCUACAAAGCCUAGAACUAACUGACAGAUUCAACCAUUUUUGUUUGCUUUCGGCUUAUGUAACAGUGAACAAAGUGUAGUUUUCGUUCAACUACAAAAUUGUGCAAAUUGCAUUUUUGAUCCAACACUGUUUGAAACUGUUUAAAUCUACUCACUUUUCAGUAAAUGUAUAUUCUUUGUUAGAAGUUGGUCCUUGUGAAGUUGAGCAUAGAGGUUUGAAUGAACGUUAAUUAAAAUCUGACAUGUUCCCUUUGUUUAUGUGCUUAUGUUAAAUUUACAAAUCUAUAUGGUUAGGUACAUGCCUUCUUUUUUUUCGGUUCUUAAGUCUCAAUUAUGUGUUUCUUGGUUAGAAGGUUUAAUUAGCUAUGAAAAUGACAUGUUUGGUAUGAAUAUCAUUUCUUAUGCCUGCAAUGUUCUUCAUGACUGUUUGAUCAAUAGGAAAUACUUUCUUUAAUGGCGGAUCUGUUGCUUUCUGUUUAGUUUCUUUUACGCAAAGUUUUCUUACUUAGCUAACAUGAACACUAGAAUUGAAAAGGGGCUAGAAGUACUAGAAUU
rnacentral:lncRNA from 1 species